rnacentral:rRNA from 1 species
GGCUACACACGUGCUACAAUGGGUAGUACAGAGAGUCGCAAAGCCGCGAGGUGGAGCUAAUCUCAGAAAACUAUUCUUAGUUCGGAUUGUACUCUGCAACUCGAGUACAUGAAGUUGGAAUCGCUAGUAAUCGCGAAUCAGCAAUGUCGCGGUGAAUACGUUCUCGGGUCUUGUACACUCCGCCCGUCACACCACGAGAGUUGGUUGCACCUGAAGUAGCAGGCCUAACCGCAAGGAGGGAUGCUCCGAGGGUGUGAUUAGCGAUUGGGGUGAAGUCGUAACAAGGUAUCCGUACGGGAACGU